UGGGGAAUCUUGGACAAUGGGGGAAACCCUGAUCCAGCCAUGCCGCGUGAUCGAUGAAGGCCUUAGGGUUGUAAAGAUCUUUCAGCUGGGAAGAUAAUGACUGUACCAGCAGAAGAAGCCCCGGCUAACUCCGUGCCAGCAGCCGCGGUAAUACGGAGGGGGCUAGCGUUGUUCGGAAUUACUGGGCGUAAAGCGCACGUAGGCGGAUCAGUCAGUCAGGGGUGAAAUCCCGGGGCUCAACCCCGGAACUGCCUUUGAUACUGCUGGUCUUGAGGUCGAGAGAGGUGAGUGGAAUUCCGAGUGUAGAGGUGAAAUUCGUAGAUAUUCGGAGGAACACCAGUGGCGAAGGCGGCUCACUGGCUCGAUACUGACGCUGAGGUGCGAAAGCGUGGGGAGCAAACA
rnacentral:rRNA from 1 species